rnacentral:rRNA from 1 species
UACGGGGGGGGCAAGCGUUGUUCGGAAUUACUGGGCGUAAAGGGCUCGUAGGCGGCCAACUAAGUCAGACGUGAAAUCCCCAGGCUCAACCUGGGAACUGCGUCUGAUACUGGAUGGCUUGAAUCCGGGAGAGGGAUGCAGAAUUCCAGGUGUAGCGGUGAAAUGCGUAGAUAUCAGGAGGAACACCGAUGGCGAAGGCAGGUCACUGGGCCGCAACUGACGCUGAGGAGCGAAAGCAUGGGGAGCGAACAGG